GCCGAAGUGGCGGAAUUGGUAGACGCACCAGUUUCAGGGACUGGCGAGCGCACGCUUGUGGGAGUUCGAAUCUCCCCUUCGGCACCA
rnacentral:tRNA from 1 species